rnacentral:lncRNA from 1 species
GGCAGAAAUGACUCAACAAGGUGAAGGAAUGAAGAAGAACUGAUGACUAGCUCCUCGUGCUGUCUGUUGAGACAAGCCCAGUGCAGCCAAGGUAGCAAUCUGCUGUCCCUCGGAUAUGGUUUGAGGAUUCACCUGGACAGCAAGUCUCAGCCCCCAAAAUCCAACCUGAAUGGAAAGAAAUGGAUGAAGGAGGAGAAUCACUGCCUGGACUGUUUUGUACUGACUGUGAGACCCUACCAUACAGCCAGCCUAUUCUCCUUCUAGAAGGGAUUGCACUUGUGAACUGCAGAGUCCUUUUGAUUGAAACAGUCCCCAUAAACUUGCCCUGAGAGCAACACAGGAAAUUCCUAUGUCAGCAGUGAGAACAGCAAAAUGCACUGAACAGUUGAGGAGAAGGUCUCAGGACAGCGGCUCUGAGCCCCCCCAGGGCAAGGGUCCCCACUGCUACCCUUGGAAACAGGCUUUAAUUUGUGCUUUCCUGCUGUGGCACAUGGGCAGUGGCUUUAAACACUCCCCAUGACAAUCGCUUAGCCAGCAAAGGAAUUUCUCUGCUGUAAACAGGUGCUGUCAGUGCACCAAGUAAACCCAUGGCUUCCUAAGCUGAUUUCCUAACCCUGGAAUCUCGUAGUUUCACAAAUUAAUGAUAUUCCCUGUAGCAGGAAGGGAGCAGCUCUGUCACAAUCGUUUACCAAGUCCCUACUACAUUAUCAUUUCACCCAGUGCCACCUGUAGGUCACCCAGAAGACGCAAGGUCUCCCCAGCAC